UCCUACGGGAGGCAGCAGUGAGGAAUAUUGGUCAAUGGCCGAGAGGCUGAACCAGCCAAGUCGCGUGAGGGAUGACGGCCCUACGGGUUGUAAACCUCUUUUGUCGGGGAGCAAGACCCGCCACGAGUGGCGGAGCGAGAGUACCCGAAGAAAAAGCAUCGGCUAACUCCGUGCCAGCAGCCGCGGUAAUACGGAGGAUGCGAGCGUUAUCCGGAUUUAUUGGGUUUAAAGGGUGCGCAGGCGGACCAUCAAGUCAGCGGUAAAAUCGUGGGGCCCAACCCCACCCCGCCGUUGAAACUGGCGGG
rnacentral:rRNA from 1 species